UAGGUGUCAACCAUGGUCUAUAAGGUGCCUGAAAUGAUUUAGAGAAAUCAUUUACGGUAAGAAAGAGUUCUAAUGAUAUUAAAAGUUAAUAUCAUUUCUCAUUGCCAAUUAGUAAAAAGCCUAGUAAGUCACACACCUACACAAGUUUAUCAUCAAGUAAAUUAUGAUUUAAUUGAUUAAUUAAAAAAUUUAAUUAAUUAAUUAAUUAAAUUUUUUAAUUAAUCAAUUAAAUCAUAAUUUACUUGAUGAUAAACUUGUGUAGGUGUGUGACUUACUAGGCUUUUUACUAAUUG
rnacentral:misc_RNA from 1 species